GAUGAACGCUGGCGGCGUGCCUAAUACAUGCAAGUCGAACGAAUCUUCUUCGGAAGAUGAGUGGCGAACGGGUGAGUAAUACAUAGGUAACCUGCCCCUGUGCGGGGGAUAACAGGAGGAAACUCCUGCUAAUACCGCAUAGCCAUGAGCACCGCAUGGAGCUCAUGCCAAAUAUCCUUCAGGGGAUAGCGCAGGGAUGGACCUAUGGCGCAUUAGCUAGUUGGCGGGGCAACGGCCCACCAAGGCAACGAUGCGUAGCCGGCCUGAGAGGGCGGACGGCCACAUUGGGACUGAGACACGGCCCAGACUCCUACGGGAGGCAGCAGUAGGGAAUUUUCGGCAAUGGGGGAAACCCUGACCGAGCAACGCCGCGUGAGCGAAGAAGGCCUUCGGGUCGUAAAGCUCUGUUGUAAAGGAAGAACGUCGCAUGCAGGAAAUGGUGUGCGAGUGACGGUACU
rnacentral:rRNA from 1 species